rnacentral:rRNA from 1 species
AGAAUCAACGCUGGCGGCGUGCCUAACACAUGCAAGUCGAACGCGAAAGUCCCGAAAGGGGCAAGUAGAGUGGCAAACGGGUGAGUAACGCGUGGGUGACCUGCCUUCGAGCGGGGGAUAACGUUUCGAAAGGAACGCUAAUACCGCAUAACAUCCUGCCUUUGAAUAGGUGGAGAUCAAAGCUGGGGAUUCGCAAGAACCCGGCACUUGAAGAGGGGCCCGCGUCUGAUUAGCUAGUUGGUGAGGUAACGGCUCACCAAGGCAACGAUCAGUA